AGGAGGAAAAUCUAUUUCCACACCAAAGACACUUUUCCUGAUCAACYCUGAAAGAGCUGGAUAUCCCUUGUCCAUCAUCCUGGGGCACAGGAAAGCUGUGCUAGAAUCCAGAGAUCUCACAAAACAGGAGAGAUGCAAAGGAAGAAGAAACUGCCUGCAAAGUURUGAUCUUUUCCUUAGUCACAGCUGAAUAUUUCAGAAUCCAAGAUUUAUUCUCAUUGGAGCUGUCUCAUUUCCCUGACACGAGAGGAAUGGUCUUAGUCACRGAGUGCUGGGGAGCCCAUUCCCAUUGCUCCUGAGCACCCUGGGCUGAUAUAAAAGGCAGCCAAGGGCACUUGGUGUCACUGCACUGAAACAUCACCAGGGCUGRCAGGAGCAGGUCAGGACUUCACUGGGAUCCAAGCAACACCAUCAGUGAAAGAAAGAACAGAGGAAAAGAUUUCUGGUCACACUGSCAGCUUCUGGUCCUGUGGAGCUGACUUAAAGAAGAGAGAAAAUGUUCCUGCCCCAGAGAUCUCUGCAGACAGUURCAUUUUUGGCAAUUCUUUUUUUUGCCUGUUUUGCAACAUGCCAAGAAAUUGAAAACAGGAGGGCAGUGACCGAGCACCAGCUCAUGCACGACAAAGGGAGGGCGUUCCAGGGCCUGAAGCGCCUGCUGUGGCUKCACCACGCCCUGGGGGCCGUGCACACAGCCAGCAGCAGGGAUAUCCCACUUCCAAAUGUGCAGAAGAGCCAAGAUUCCUCUGAUUUCAACAGCAUCGACAGGGAUGAGGCUUCAAGCCUGAUGAAGCAGCUGCUGGAACUGACAGAAGCUCAGGGCUUCCUCCCGUUGAAGCAGCUGGAUGGGAAGAUCCCAAAGGGCAGCUGGAACCCACAAGGCCUUUUUGACCCCCUCUGACUGUUCCCACAAGUGCCAGCCCAGCUGUCUGUCCCUYGCUUCACACGUGCACUGCUGGAGGGAAAAGCUCCAGCGCAAAGGUGAACAGCAAAAUGAAAACCCUUCACUGCAUUCGCUCCUCCAGGUGUUCCCAGAAACCCUCAGAAAGAGCAGCUCCUCUCCCUCUGAACCCUGGGACUGUGACACUGAGAGGGUCCCCUCUCUUCCCUCUCUCCUCCCUGUCUGCCAUGGAUAUCUUAGGGAUGGUGCAUCCUGUUGGAGCUCUCGUAGCUCACACGGAGCAGGAAGUUUGGGUCAUUAAUCUGCAUUUUCACAGCCUCACGUUCAGCCUCCUGAAGAAUUUUACCUUCCCAUACAGGUUCUCUUCCAUUCACACCUGCCUGCAGUAAUUUCACACUCAACUCUAG